UAGCUAAACAUUUCAAUAUUUAAGACAUCCAUUCACUUCACUGUUGGGUUUGGUCUGGACUAGUUUAGCUCAACCUGGGCAUAGGGUCGAGGUUGUUAGGAGUCUGUUCAAUCUGUACAUUUUUUAUGUGUUUCUAUGUUAUAUUGUUCAAACUGUACAUUUUUUAUGUGUUCUAGGUUAUAUAAACUUGGUACAGAAUUUCCGUCAAUAACUUACCAAAUCCUACUGCAUUCUUGCUAAAUUUGAAUGGCAAUGUACAUGCGAUUGUUUUCAUUUCAUAGUACUCAUAAUAUCAGUUGAAGUGGAUACCAACCUGGGCAUAGGGUCGAGGUUGAUUCUUCUUCUUGGUUGAUGUAUGUAUAUUAAAAGUCAUAAAUAAUCUGUACACCUGAUUAAAUAUUGUAUGUCUUUCAAUAAUUUGUGUUAUUGAUAUCCAGAUAACCUGGGCAUAGGGUCGAGGUUUCUGGAUCUAGUCGUGUACUUAUAUAUACCAGUUAUCUUUAAUUUUACGGAUGGGCGACUGGAUGCUGAAUACAUGGUGUUUCUUUGUAUUGGAGAAACUAAUUUGGACAAUUCAUUGUAUACAUGUUUGGGGUUUACCCCUUUUAGUUUGAUUACUCAUAACGUUUUUCGGCGUUGAUGUGUUAUUGAUAUCCAGAUAACCUGGGCAUAGGGUCGAGGUUUCUGGAUCUAGUCGUGUACAUAUAUAUACCAGUUAUCUUUAAUUUUACGGAUGGGCGACUGGAUGCUGAAUACAUGGUGUUUCUUUGUAUUGGAGAAACUAAUUUGGACAAUUCAGUGUAUACAUGUUUGGGGUUUACCCCUUUUAGUUUGAUUACUCAUAACGUUUUCCGGUGUUGAAUAUAACACUGUCCUAAUUUGUGAUAAUAUCUUGGGAUUGGUGUGCUUAUACCAUUCCCAUGUUUCCAUACCUUUUCUUUGUCACAAACUCUUAUUGUUUUAUGUUUAAAUGCUUGAAAAUACGUUAUUUGUAUCUUAAUUUUUGUGUGUGGAAUGCAGGCGUUUUGUAAGUGCCUGGAUAUCAGACUUUUAUCAUCAUAUCAUUUCACUUUUGCUGUGGAUCUCUUAUAGAUGCAGCGUUACCUCAAAUGCUUGGAAGCUUAACUAUGCAUAUAUGUAUGACAUGUAACUGUUUUCUUUAUGGUGAUGCGUUGAGCAUCUGUUUUAAAUGUAUAUCAGCAGUUUAUAACUCAUGCAUCACAUAUGAAUUAUUAUAUUAUACAUUAAUUCGGACACGACUUCGGGUGGGUUAUGGUUCCUGAUCAUUAGGAUAAUCAGAUACCAUUGUGGCGGUUUUGUAUCCCCACCUUGGACCAAAGUUCGAUUCAUAUGGUUGAUUUUAUGAAUAUCAACUUGUAUUGCAAGUUUGUUUCAAUUGUCGUUUAAUAAAUAAACGGCCAAUUUCAAUUCAA